AGUUGGGUUGGGAACAGGAGGGGUGCCAGUGCACCUCCUGGUCACUGCCAAAGUGCCCUUGAGCAAGGCACCAAACCCCUGACUGCUCGGCGCGCUCCUCCAAGGAGCAGCCCCCUCGUCCUGAGCAUGUGUGUGAUUCGGGCCUGUGAUUAAUGUGUGUGCAACUGUACUAACAGGGUAAAAAUUGUGAAUUUCCCCUCGCGGGAUAAAGAAAGGCAUGUCUUUUU